rnacentral:rRNA from 1 species
UACAGAGGGUGCAAGCGUUAAUCGGAAUGACUGGGCGUAAAGGGCGCGUAGGCGGUUAAUUAAGCUAGAUGUGAAAGACCAAAGCUCAACUUUGGCAGUGCAUCUAUAACUGGUUGACUAGAGUAGAGUAGAGGGAAGUGGAAUUUCCGGAGUAGCGGUGAAAUGCGUAGAUAUCGGAAAGAACAUUUGUGGCGAAGGCGGCUUUCUGGACUCAUACUGACGCUGAGGCGCGAAAGCGUGGGGAGCAAACAGG